rnacentral:rRNA from 1 species
UACGUAGGUGGCGAGCGUUGUCCGGAUUUACUGGGCGUAAAGGGAGCGUAGGCGGACUUUUAAGUGAGAUGUGAAAUACCCGGGCUCAACUUGGGUGCUGCAUUUCAAACUGGAAGUCUAGAGUGCAGGAGAGGAGAAUGGAAUUCCUAGUGUAGCGGUGAAAUGCGUAGAGAUUAGGAAGAACACCAGUGGCGAAGGCGAUUCUCUGGACUGUAACUGACGCUGAGGCUCGAAAGCGUGGGGAGCAAACAGGAUUAGAUACCCUGGUA